rnacentral:rRNA from 1 species
CGGCAGGCCUCAAACAUGCAAGUCUAGGGGGUGUAGCAAUACAUCACCGGCGGACGGGUGCGUAACGCGUGGGAAUAUACCUAUCGAUUCGGAACAACUGAGGGAAACUUCAGCUAAUACCGAAUACGUCCUAACGGAGAAAGAUUUAUCGUCGAUAGAUUAGCCCGCGUUCGAUUAGCUAGUUGGUGGGGUAACGGCCCACCAAGGCGACGAUCGAUAGCUGUUCUGAGAGGAAGAUCAGCCACACUGGGACUGAGACACGGCCCAGACUCCUACGGGAGGCAGCAGUUGGGAUCUUGGACAAUGGGGAAACCCUGAUCCAGCCAUGCCGCGUGAGUGAUGAAGGCCUUCGGGUUGUAAAACUCUUUCGCGCACGACGAUAAUGACGGUAGUGCGAGAAGAAGCUCCGGCUAACUUCGUG